rnacentral:ncRNA from 2 species
AAAAGCGAGGCGUCGGAGGGUACCGAAGAGGUUCAAAAGGGAAGCCGGUGAAAGUCCGGCGCGGGGACGCCACCGUAACCGGGGACGAAACCCACAAGAGCCACUGGUGUAAGCCGGGAAGGCGUGGGGAGUAGGAUGAUCCGGAAGCCGGGAGACCUGCCCUUCGACGAAAUCACCA